AUCGGUGCCUGCUUCUUCAACACGUCGUCAUCCCCGUCCAACUGUCGGCAGCGGCGAGCUCUACACAAAGCUUCGGUGGAAUUUCUGUGCGACACAGGAAUUUGGAUGGUCCAAUCCAUCCGACCAAAUAAACUGGUGUGAGAAUCGGCAGCAGCUGCUAUUGCAGCUAUACCAUCCGCAUCUUCAAUGUGACAUAGGGAUUGAACUUCAUUUACAUUUCCUCCGAAAUGCGAACAAUUUGUUUGAAUAGUCUAAAAUUUAUAUUCAUAGUACUUAUAGUUUCCUUUUUUGUCCACCAUACACAAUCUGUUACCUAUUUGCAUACUUUAAUUUUAUGCUCCUGGCAUAUCACUAAUGCGCUGCGACAUGCAGUUAGCUCCUUUUGUAAUCUUUAAGACCAAUGCUUCUAAGAUUAAGACCACCCUGCUCCUAACCUGCUUCUGUGGUCGUUAACACCACUGCUUUUGAUCCACAUUCAUAUAGCUACGCCUACUGUAUUGUAAUCUCUAAGCUCUUCUAUAAUAUAAUCUCUAAGAACUUCAUGCUGUUACAUUUCCAGAACUUGAAAACUUCAUUGCUACAAAAA